UACGAAGGGGGCUAGCGUUGCUCGGAAUCACUGGGCGUAAAGCGCCCGUAGGCGGAUUGCUAAGUCAGGGGUGAAAUCCUGGAGCUCAACUCCAGAACUGCCUUUGAUACUGGCAACCUUGAGUCCGGGAGAGGUGAGUGGAACUGCGAGUGUAGAGGUGAAAUUCGUAGAUAUUCGCAAGAACACCAGUGGCGAAGGCGGCUCACUGGCCCGGUACUGACGCUGAGGUGCGAAAGCGUGGGGAGCAAACAGG
rnacentral:rRNA from 1 species